GGAAAACACAAAAGCAAAACAAAUCAGAUUAAAGUUAAAUUGAAGUCUGGAAUUCAUCUAUGCUUCAGAGCAGGAAUAAAGAGUUACCAGAUCUUUUCUCCACAGCAACACCACAGAAAUAAAAAGAAUUACCUUUUUUCACAAAAGAUGCAUGUCUUUCUAAUUAUUAUCAUUCUAAAAUUCUUAAACUAGCUGCUUGAUCUAUGGCUUUAGGAUACCAUUUUUUCAUAUCUGUUUCUUCUAAGUACAAAAAGACAAAGAGAUAUCCACCACUUUUCAUUGUUCCUUGAAUGGAACUAGACACUUAAAAAUAGAUUUACAUUACCAGUCAUAACUUGUGAUUCCUAAGCUCCCGCAAAACUCGUAUAUUCAUUUUUUUUUGUACUGAAGUAACAUGUUCCUCCACUUUUAUCAAUUUAAAUGAAAACACAGUAAGCAAUAAAAAUAGCCCCAACUUCCAUCAAUGUUUCUCUGUGUUAAGAGUCCAUGAACUAAAAGUUUAUCCUCAGAGCUCAGACCACCAUUCUGAAAUGGAGGUGCACUAUCACACAUAAUGUUAAUGCUUAUGAAUUUAUGUUAGUGAUUUAAUGUGGCAACUUGCUCUUGAACUUAGUCUUCCUCACUUCUGUUGUAGAAAGAUCCCAAAGGCACAUAUCUAAAGGUCACCUACUGCUGGACAUCAAGGAGGAAACCUUAGUAAUAAUAGCAGCAGCAUAAGAAUAAACUGCCAAGACUGUGUGAGACAAUUGUUAGUGAGAUGAACAACAACAGAGAAGCUGAGAGGAAAUGAAAAACUUCCCAUAGACCCCAGGCAAGUAGGACCCCUGUCCCAAGCCUGCAUCUUGGGGGCACAAUGCCUUCCAAUACCUUCCAAGAAAUUUUCUAAGUUUCCCUUGUGACUGAGACAAUCCCUCCCACUCCAGCAAUCUACCUGGAAAAAAGGCCUCAGACCACAUCAGGACCCUUAUCUCAUUUCUCCUCUACAGAGAAUCACUAAGCCUCUACCCCUCUACCUCAUAUCCUUUGGGUAUACCAGAUGCCCCAAAGAACCUCCAGAAGAGUUCUACUGGCCAGAACUCUUAGUCUUUUUUUUUUUCAACUUUUCCAGAUUCUAAUUUAUUAAAAAGAAAAUAAUAAUAAAGUACUACAGAGACUUAAGUUAAUCUUUAGCAAUCCAACAAAAGCAAAUCAAAACUACACUGAGAUUUCAUUUUACUCCACUUAGAAUGGUAGUCAUCAAGAAUACAAAUGAUAAUAAAUGCUGGCAAGGAGAUGGGGGAAGGAACACUACUGCGGGUGGGAUUGUAAAUUAGUGCAACCACUAUGGAAAUCAAAAGAGGUUCUUCCAUUUUCAUAGAACUAUGAAAAAAAUGAAUGAGAUGGGUUCUCUGGAAUGGGACUGGCAUGAUGAUUUGGGGUGUCUCUCAAUUUUUAAAUAGCACAGGACAGGCUUGGGGCUUUGUUGUUCCCUGGGCUUGAGCCACACACGGGGGCUAGUAUAACAGCUCAUCAACUGUGUUUCCAUACCUAACAUAUACUUCCAAGCAAGCAGGUGGAGCAGUUGUCCUCUAUUCAGGGCUGUCCGUGUACUUCCUCCACAGCUCCCACACCAUGUAUCAGGCCGUUUUCUAGGGAUGGCCUUGCCUAUCUCACUUGAGCUUCAUGAUCUUUGCUCUCCUUUGUCUGGUGACUCUUCAGAUGCAUGUACUCUCUUGCCUUAUAUCAUGUUGAUGUUGUAACAUAGCCAGGCUGGUCUUAAGCCAUACUGGACAAGUGAUGAACAUUUUUGAUGCAAAUAGGACCACGGAAGAUGCAUGUCUUUCUAAUUAUUAUCUAAUUAUUAUCUUCCGUGGGUUCCUCACCCGUCUUCCUCACUGGUGAAGUAUAGAAAGGUAGAAGUACCGUCAACAUUGAAAAAGAUCCUGUUUAACAUGUAAAUCAAUGGAUGUGUAACUGAUAUGAUUCUGCAAUCUGUAUACGGGGUAAAAAUGGGAGUUCAUAACCCACUUGAAUCAAAGUGUGAAAUAUGAUAUGUCAAGAACUAUGUAACGUUUUGAACAACCAACAA
rnacentral:lncRNA from 1 species